rnacentral:lncRNA from 1 species
AGGUUCUUGUCCACAUAAAGAAAGUGGCCCAAGACUUCCAGGGCCCCAGAGGGAGCUGUCGGGUCCAUUAAGUGUUACUGGGGUUUUUGGUCCCGACGUGGUUAACUUGGACCUCAAAUCCACCCUGAGGGUUCUUUACAACCUGUUCACCAAGUACAAGAACGUGGAGUGACGGGGGAGCUGUGGAUGGUGGCAGGAGUGUCCCAGCAAGAAAGGCGGCAUCCGUCUGUGCCCUGUGCCUUUCCAGGGAGCCAGGCGCCAUGGGCUUCUGGUCCAAGCUGUGUUGACUGUCAUCCCCACCCCACCCCUACCUCACGCCUGCCCCACCCCCUGCCUCUUUUGGUUGUUGUUCUUAAUCUCCUCUCCAUGUAGUUCCCAGUGGGCAAGAGCCUUUGAAAAUGCAGGAUUCUAAACACUCGUG